ACAAGUGGAAACAGAGUAAAGGUCUGGACCCUAAAAUUCACAGUUCUUUUCAUUCUUCUCCUGGGACUCAAGAAGCACAGUUUGGAAACCAAGAAAUGAGUGAGAACCUCUCCUUUUGCCGGUGAUGCUUCAGACUGGGCUGGAGAUUCACUGGGGGUAUUUGCUAGACAUUAUUUCACUUGGCAAGGUCAUCACCACCCUUACCAUCAUGAAAUGUGCCCUGAGAACACUCUUGUGUAGGACACUCUGCUGGCAACAGGAGGAAAAUGAAUCACACGUGUUGUGAAGCUUCAGCAUCAUGGUGUCCUUAUGUUGCCACACGCUCCUGGGUGAACCCGCAUGACAGAAAUCAGAAGAUUGGAGCAGGGACCUCAGCUGGAUCUUUCCGGGAGGCUCCAGGGAGCACGGAACUCCAGAACAUGACACAAUUCGUCUUGCAGCUGAGAUUCAGAGAAUCUGAAGUUCACCGUUUGUACACUUGUUUAGUUAUGACUCCUUUGAACAAUUAUAACGUCUGUCAUAUCGUGGGCAUUUGUGGGCUCCAAAUCAUAAAGUAGGCUGUCCAGAA